UGGAGAAACGAGUGGUGCGCUUCGAAUAGAGCGCACACGUCGAGACAUCAACGAUCGAAUGGUGUUUGCGUAAGCCGCUUUGCUUGAUUAGAACACGUCUUGGGAGAUACGGCAUCGCGUUUGAUCAAAUAUUGCGCAGCAUCGUCGGGGUCGGUUUCCGCAGAAAGCCGCGGAGAGCAAUUCAAUCAGUUUCCUUGCUCCUCCCAUACACCGACUGUCUAAUUAGAUCAAUCCGGCAAAUGUGUCCCGAGACGAAUUCGUCCUGUGGUAACCUGGAAUACGCAGACGUAACGAUCCAUCAUGGGACCCGGUAGGUAUUCGCCAUUUAACCUGGUUCCCCGUCGCUGCUCCGACGCCGACGAUGACGAGUCUUGGAGGGUGGCGGCGCUGAUCAAGAUUAAUAGUAUGCAAAUUACUCAAGUGCCUGAGGGAAAAUCCCGCGAGAUCUAGAGAUCCCCUACGGUGCCACCCAGCGCUAGCAAAAGAUCGAACGGUUCGCCGAGGGUCGAGGACUCGAGGAGCGAUCGAGAUUUUGGUGUAUCGAAAAUAGCCCAUCCGACAAAUCUCUACCUAUUUGCGUGGAAUCGUUUCUAUUAGAUCAGUAAUCGUGUAUCUCAGAUAUUCAAAGGUUAUCGUACACGCCAAAGUAUUUAAAGUAAGCAUAUUUCGUACAUGGACACGGUGGAAAUACGAUAAAAUGUCUGGAAAAGUAUUUCCCUCGUUUCGUUUCGAGAAUUAAGAACUCGGUUCCCCGAUCGUUAUCCGGAAACGUGAUAGUUGGAAGGCUUCACCUAGUCAACAGGAAAGGACCGUUGCGGUCUCGUUUACAAGUUGAACCGAACAUUCCCGUGUGAUCGUGACGAUGUGUUCCGAAAACGUGGUUCAUAUUUUCGUACCGCGUAGAGAAGGUCGGAAAGUGAAACGAGAACGUACGAGAGGCAAGGCGAGUGUGGCCGAAUAAAUUCGACUCGUUUCAAUUUCCGAUAGUAACGGUGGCAUCGUUGGCCACCCUCGCCGCCUAUAACAUGAAACGCCACGUUUAUUCUCGUUUCGUUCCGUAUGAAUUAUUCCUACAGACCAACGAUUUCGCGCGCCACAAUUUUCUUCUGGAUCUGACCCCACCCCGCCGCGCCGCGCCCUCUCUCUCUCUCUCUCUCUCUCUCUCUCUCUCUCUCUCUCUCUCUCCUUCUCUUGCUCUUUAAGAGAUCGAAUCGGAUAAAAUUGCUCUUAAUUACCAGCAGAUCUUGCUCGAUCAGCUAGAAGCUCGGCAAAAGUAAAAAAAAAAGAGAACGAGGAUUCAUUGAUUGAAAUAAAAGUAACGCUGGACUUUUGAUAUUCAAGAUAGAAAUAGCAAAAAAAAUAGCAGGGAACUCCUGGUUUUCGUGAUACCGACAAUGCCAACGCCAAGCGUAGCCGUAAUGCCACGCAUACGAUCCAACUUCUCAAGAUAUUUUCUAAUUUUCUUGGUUUUAUACUUUCAAGUGAAAAAAGUAUCGAUCGGGCGCUACCAUGAACCGGGCUCGAAAGUAAAUAACUAGGAAAUCGCGGCGUGUCAUUGUUUGCGCAGCCGCCUCUCUGUCUCGCAACCACUGAUUUUCGAACGUUGAACGGUUAACCAUUAAACGAUGACGGAAAAAUCGAUAAACCGCCGUGAGCGAUCCAUCCCGGCGUUUGGCCGAUCCUUGGCACCCAUCACGCGUGUCAGCAUUUUUUUGUACGAAAAUUAUAUCGAUAGUUGCAUUCGUUUCCACUGGUCGAAAAGUCCGUCGACGUCGCGCCGAGGACGACGCGACGCGCGCCGAUCACAGCUCGACCGCCAAUAUACCGCAAGGUACAACUUGCAACGAGUCUCCUGCCGAUGACGGCACCGGCGCUCGGCGGUGUUAGAUAAAUAGAAACAACGAUACUUACUCGAACCCGAUAAUAUCACAGAAUCAUUCAAACGUAUUACCGAGUACGCACAAGCCCGCAAGGUGAAAUCUGGUGAUUCGUCGAAAGAGUUCAGAGUAUGUUCCCGACUCGUCCAACUAAAUUGUUUCUCAAUUGUUCCGUUCCAUUUUAGACAGCAAAUUUGUUUCGCAAAAGACUCUGAUUCUAAUUGAUCGAUCGAGGGAGGGCACCAAAGUUAAACGGAAUCGAUGUUGAACGGCUAGCGCGAUUCAGCCUUCAAGGUACAAUAUGCGUUCCUUACAAAUCGACCGAUAUGUACAUGUACCGACAACUAAAAUAAAACAUUCGAUAUUUCAAGUUUUUCAUUUAGUUUAUUUACUCGAGGUGAAUUCUAUUAAAGGACGAUUCUUCUCGAUUCCUUUCUACGUUAUUCGUUAUUCGUUAUUCGUUAUUCGUUAUCCGUUGAACAAGUUUCCAAGUUUCUUUCGAGAAGAUGCUCGCGACUCGUCUAUGCAACGCCUGAACCAAUACGACUAGCACCGAUUACAUAUACAUAAAUCGAUGACAAAUUGAUAUCGUUACGACGCGUUGCAAAACGAAACCGAUCAUCGAUCCAUCAUUCUGUCCGUCGUCGUUAAGAGCGCAAAUAAUUUGUCUAGCCCGCAAACUAGUUUGAAACUGAAUACCCAUUAAGGGCUUGACAAAGUUUAAAGAUCGGGAGAUCCAAUUUUAUCGAAGGAAGCGGGAUUCCCUUUCUUUACGAAGAAGACGAGAUAACAACGCCAUGGAAAGCUAUAACAAAGUAAGAAACAUCCUUGGUAUUUUAGACUAAAGAGUCCUUCGGUAUUCCAGGAUCCGCGGCACAUUCUCCGGAAUGCUGGUAUCAAGAUAACGAUACGAUUUCGACAACAUAGUAACAGCAAUUCAGCGCGUGCUCGAAAUUCGGCACUUUCGUAUAACGACGAUAUCGAUCGACGUUCAAUGAAAUUAACCAAUUCAUCGCAUGCAUAGCGUCGAGAAACAUUUUACUUUCAGUCGUUGAAUAACUUGCAGAAUUAUCAGUUUAUUGAAAUACUAACAAUGGUUCGUUCAUAAUACACGAUAUAAUAACGUUUCGCGAUGCGUUAUUUAACAGGAUAAUUGUAGGUACUCUAGCACUCGCAACGCGUGCAAUUCGAAUUUAAUUAUCACGCGCGGAAAUAUAGAUUGAUUAUUGUGCAUUCGGAUCAAAAUUAUUUUCUAUUCCAUUUGAAAUUCGGUUCCGUUGGGGAUUUCGUUUGUUCGCUCGAAUCUUGUUGGCGAUCCGGAGAGCUACAUACUCGUAUGUAUAUCCGACGAAUAACAACGAAAUCAUCGCAAAGGUGAUUGAUCAAAAGUUGACGAACCACGCGUUCAACUUUACGACGAUUAUCAUACGUGUUUCGUGUUUCGUGUUUCAUGCACCGUGCACAUCACUUCUGGGCCGGAUAGUCGAUGACCGUCCGCGCCGAUCGCCAAUCGUUAACAUGUCGUAAUUGGAUUCGGUCGCGAUGCAUUUCCAUUUCCAAGUCGUCGAAUCGUUCUCAAGUUUGGCAUGAUUCGACGACUAGACACCAACAAGCGUACACGGAUGCAGGUAUCUACAUAUGUACUAUCUAGUAUUUACGCUUGGAUGAAUCACUCGGCUGCUACGCGUACGAUAAAAAUGCGUAAUCGUGUCUUAUCUCGAAUGAACAAGUUUGCUUGAUACGCGGUGGGAAACGUUACUCGCGUCUACCGGAUUUAACUAGCGAACUCGAUUAACGAGACCACUCGAACGAUGUAGCUUUUGCAAGCAUUGCUCGCACCUGUGUUGCACCGAUACGAGCUUUAGCGCACUCUUCGAUCUCAGCUGGCACGCAACCGUUGUUUCUUUCCUUUCAUAAUAGGAGAGA